GCCAGCAUGGCAUAGUGGUUUGAGCAUUAGACUACAACUCUAGAGAGCAAGGUUUGAUUUCCAGUUUGGCU